rnacentral:rRNA from 1 species
UACGGAGGGGGCGAGCGUUAUUCGGAAUUAUUGGGCGUAAAGGGCGCGUAGGCGGCCUGAUAAGUCAAAGGUGAAAUCCCUCGGCUCAACUGAGGAACUGCCUUUGAAACUGUCUGGCUUGAGGCCGGGAGGGGGUAGCGGAAUUCCCAGUGUAGCGGUGAAAUGCGUAGAUACUGGGAGGAACACCAGUGGCGAAGGCGGCUACCUGGACCGGUUCUGACGCUGAGGCGCGAAAGCGUGGGUAGCAAACAGG